UGCCAGCCGCCGCGGUAAGACGGAGGGUGCAAACGUUGUUCGGAAUCACUGGGCAUAAAGAGCACGUAGGCGGUUCGUUAAGUCAGAUGUGAAAGCCCCCGGCUCAACCGGGGAACUGCAUUUGAUACUGACGAGCUAGAGUGUGGUUGGGGUGAGUGGAACUCCAGGUGGAGCGGUGAAAUGCGUAGAUAUCUGGAGGAACACCGGUGGCGAAAGCGACUCACUGGACCACUACUGACGCUGAGGUGCGAAAGCUAGGGUAGCAAACGGGAUUAGAUA
rnacentral:rRNA from 1 species